CUAGUUUGAUGAAUGAAAUUGUAGAUUUCAAACAUUAUACAACCUGCUGUUUUCACUGCAAAUUUAAGAGAAUAUGACCAUGGUGCUAUUCUGAUUUUCCUGAGCUCGCUUCCCUUGAUCUUAACUGAACUGCCUUUAAAGGUAUAACCUUAAGCCUGCACUUCGGUAGAUUUACAUAUACAGAGUUUUAUACAAUAAAGCUUUUCAAAGCAAGAAUUGGUAGAGUGGCGCUAUGGAAGGGUAAGUAAGACCGGCACCAUUUGAAUGUGUAUUAACAUUUCCCACUCGAUGCAAAUCACUUCCAUGAGAAAUUCCACAUUAAACGCAGCAUCUCAUUUCAACUGUAUUAACAUCUCCCACUCGAUGCAAAUCACUUCCAUGAGAAAUUCCACAUUAAACGCAGCAUCUCAUUUCAAAGGUCCUUUCUCAUGCUCCAUAUGUGUAACCUUUCAGUUUGAAGAAUUAUUACUCUUCCCACUAAUGUUUAUUGAAAGAGAACAGCAAAAUCCACUGCAGGCGACUGGUCUGGAUCUACUGUAUGCAUAACCACGUCUAAUCAACAUGCAAUAAAGCCAAUCUUUCUCCUCUACAUCAUGCUAAGGAUUGCUUGAGAAGCACAAAC
rnacentral:lncRNA from 1 species